rnacentral:rRNA from 1 species
CUGUAGUAACAUAGAGCUAAUACAUGCAAUAUAGUCUGACUUUUUGGAAGGACUAGCACUUAUUAGAUAUUAAACCAGUCCCAGCAAUGGGUUUUUGGUGAUUCAUAGUAACUGAACAAAUCACAUGGUCUUGUACCGGUGAUGUUUCAUUCAAAUUUCUGCCCUAUCAACUAGAUGGUAGUAUAUAGGACUACCAUGGUUGUAACGGGUAACGGAGGAUUAGGGUUUGAUUCCGGAGAAGGAGCAUGAGAAACGGCUACUAUUUCUAAGGAAAGCAGCAGGCGCGCAAAUUAUUCAAUGGAAACAAUUUUCCGAAAUAGUGACAAAAAAUAAUCAAUGCUGGAUACUAUGUAUUUAGUAAUUGGAAUGAGUACAAUUUAAAUUACCCUUAACAAGUAAACAAUUAGAGGGC